rnacentral:rRNA from 1 species
UUCCGGUUGAUCCUGCCGGACCCGACUGCUAUUUGGGUGAGGAUAAGCCAUGCGAGUCGAAUGGGAUACCUAAAUUUCCCAUGGCGAACUGCUCAGUAACACAUGAUCAACUUGCCCUAUAGAGAGAAAUAACCUCGGGAAACUGAGGAUAAUUUUUCAUAGUUGAAUUGGCUUGGAAAAGUUUUUCAAUAAAAAGGAUAAAGAGAAUGGUCUUUAUUCGCUAUAGGAUAGGAUCGUGUUCGAUUAUGGUAGUUGGUGAGGUAAAGGCUCACCAAGCCGAUAAUCGAUAGGGGCCGUGAGAGCGGGAGCCCCGAGAUGGGUACUGAGACAACGACCCAGGCCUUACGAGGCGCAGCAGGCGCGAAACCUCCACAAUACACGAAAGUGUGAUGGGGUUACCCAAAGUGUUCAAUAUUGAACUGUGGUAGGUGAGUAAUGUUCCCUACUAGAAAGGAGAGGGCAAGGCUGGUGCCAGCCGCCGCGGUAAAACCAGCUCUUCAAGUGGUCGGGAUAAUUAUUGGGCUUAAAGUGUCCGUAGCCGGUUUAGUAAGUUCCUGGUAAAAUCGGGUAGCUUAACUAUCUAUAUGCUAGGAAUACUGCUAUACUAGAGGGCGGGAGAGGUCUGAGGUACUACAGGGGUAGGGGUGAAAUCUUAUAAUCCUUGUAGGACCACCAGUGGCGAAGGCGUCAGACUGGAACGCGCCUGACGGUGAGGGACGAAAGCCAGGGGAGCGAACCGGAUUAGAUACCCGGGUAGUCCUGGCUGUAAACGAUGCAUACUAGGUGAUGGCACGGCCAUGAGCCGUGUCAGUGCCGUAGGGAAACCGUUAAGUGUGCCGCCUGGGAAGUACGGUCGCAAGGCUAAAACUUAAAGGAAUUGGCGGGGGAGCACCACAAGGGGUGAAGCCUGCGGUUCAAUUGGAUUCAACGCCGGA